GCGAAGGGGGGACGGAGAAGGCUAUGUUGGCCGGGCGACGGUUGUCCCGGUUUAAGCAUGUAGGCGGAUGUUCCAGGUAAAUCCGGAACGUCACUAACGCUGAGGUGUGAUGACGAGGCACUACGGUGCUGAAGUGACAAAUGCCCUGCUUCCAGGAAAAGCCUCUAAGCAUCAGGUAACAUCAAAUCGUACCCCAAACCGACACAGGUGGUCAGGUAGAGAAUACCAAGGCGCUUGAGAGAACUCGGGUGAAGGAACUAGGCAAAAUGGUGCCGUAACUUCGGGAGAAGGCACGCUGAUGGUAGGUGAAGCGACUUGCUCGUGGAGCUGAAAUCAGUCGAAGAUACCAGCUGGCUGCAACUGUUUAUUAAAAACACAGCACUGUGCAAACACGAAAGUGGACGUAUACGGUG
rnacentral:rRNA from 1 species